AAACAAUGAAACGCUGACUCAAUACUUCCUGAACGUGUCCCUUUCUACCCCUUGGCAGAGCUUCUAUAAGCAGAACGAUCAGAAGGAGGGGAGGAAAGUAGACAGAAAGAGAAGCAAGGAAUCUGGGUGCAUUUCCAAGCUGAAUAAUCAGCUUCCUCCUCCGAAAGGGAAUUGGCAAGGCUGUAUGGAAGGAUCCAUGAUUCCUUCCCUCUGAUUGUGGCAGCAGUAUGUAAGCUGGCAAGAGGGCCCUGCAGAUACUAUGGAUGGACAUAAUCAUCCCUCAAAGGCUCCCAUUUAACUCACUGUAAUUUAAGAUUACACAGCCCUACUUGCUCUGCAUACGUCUUCUUCUGGGCAGAUCCCAUCAACCUCUUUGGUUACCAGCUACACCACUCAGCAGCACACGAAAGGACAUGUGAUUUCCUAGAGCAGAGAACAUGUAGAAAGAACAGUCAUGCUCCAGUUUAAAAGGACAGAACUACCAACAAAGGAUCAGAACAUGGAUAACAGCUACUGCUGCUGAAUGCUAAGACAUCUAGAAAUAAUCGACCCAAGGAUAACAAAGUAAGUUGGAAACAAUCUUAAGUGUUCAUGCACAGUCAUAAAGAAGUGUAUGAAUUCAGUUCCCAAGGGUAACGACUUGGCUUAUAAAAGUAUUGGAAAGACCUUCAGGUACACAGGUGCUCGGGCCUGGACCCAGGACAUAAAUUGAAAGGAAGACAGGAUGUCCCAUGUUGCUUAGUGUCUCUGAUAAUUACUGUCCUUUCUCACAGCGACUGCAAUGCUCAAUUUAAUUUUAGGCAAAGUUUCUCAUGAGAGAGGCAUUGCCAGAACUUUGAAAGUUUUGCCAAGAGGUUUUAGAGAAUUCUGUAUAUACUUCACAAUUGUCCAGUUGUUACCUUCUGCCCUGUUGGCUGGAAAUUCUGGGGAGAGGCCCUUAGAGGCAUUCCACUCUAACCAGCGAUUGUGACUGAAUACCUCAUGACUGGCCACAUUUCCUUUGGGGGUGGAUUGUGGAGCACAUGGCCAGUAAUGUACCCUACACCCUCAGGGUGGCAUAUAAGCCACUAGCAAAUUUGUGUUCAAGUAGAAUUUGUCUAUAGGGUACCAUGUUUCACCUAACAAAUUUCAUGUCCUCUCUAAACAGUCACAUUUCUACUAAUAAGCAAAAUUUACUCAGCUAUAAUAUAAUAUGCAAAUACUGCUACAAUGGUCCCGAUGACAGGCAGGCAGAGAUGGUGUGUCGAGUAGGAUGUAUGGCACAGAAGUUAUCAUCUUUGGAGUAUGCUUGCCUGGAUUCAAAUAUCUUGGUCACAUUUGUCUUGUCUUCCUCAUCUGUAAAACGAUUUGAUUAUCAUGGUGGUAAUUUCCUCAAAGGAAGUAUUUACAUUGUAGAAUUGUGGAGAUUCAAUUAACUGACUCAGGUUAAAGUGCAUAUUAUGGGUGCUAAGGUUUCAUUGAAUGUUAAAGAUUUUGAUGUAGAAUGGGCCACACUAUGAUCUGAAUAAAGUCAGGGGCUCUCUGUCACAGGAUGUCAGCAUAAAAGAAAGGGGACAGGCUGUCUGGGUCACACACUGCGUUUUCUAAGAGCUUAGGAGGGCCCAUACUUAGUUCUACUUAGAAACAGAGGCUGAAGGAAGACCAGGACAGGUGGCUGCCACUCGAAAACACUGCUGUUCAACUACUGUGACUGUCCUCCAAAUGCUUGUGACUUUCAGGCUGUUUGAAGAGUUUUGUUAGCUUGUCCCACCAUGUGCUGUGUAUUUUUAAAAUGUGGUGAAAACAGAUUGAAGUUGCUGCCUACAUCCUUUAACUAUUACCCACCCCAAUUCUUUAAAAUAUCUUCAUUAGACCAAAUACUUAUAUGUCCCCUAUUGUCCUUUGCCAAUUCUUAGUUUGUUGAUGCAUUUAUUCAACAAACUUUUAAAAGGUGACGCUAUAGUGGUCAUGGGAUCUAUGGAGUACCAAGCUCUAAGAAAAGGUUGGAUGUAAAGGCAUAUAUGGAUUAAUCCUCAGAAUAAUAGUUGCAGGAUAAAAGAAUUAAUGUUCGUUUAAUGUAUUAAGCUUGAGAUGGGGUGCAAUAGUUUAUACAAAGGCUGUAACGAAGGCUCUAUAUUGUGCAGUCUUCCAUGUUCUCAGUUAAGUUCUACUAAGAGCUGAGGAAAGAUUUCAAUUUGAAGAUUAGUAAAGGUCCAGGGCCAUCGGUGACACAACAGUGAUGCCUGGGGAGCUAUGUAAAUAUAAUGCACAGAUUGAAAAGGCAUGGGAAACACAUGGAGUAACUGGAGGCUCCUACUCCUCCAGAACUGUGUCUCAAAGAUUUCAUUUCUUGUUCUUUGCUCGUCAACAUUUUCUUCGUUUAUUUCCAUUUGGUCAACCCUCUUCUUUCACAUUGGAAACAUGAAGAAUUGGCAGAAGAGCCGGCUACUGUAUACUGGAGUUUCAUAGUCCAGUAUUUUAUAGAGCUCUUUUAGAGGUGGUAUCUUAUCAGAAAAGAUGGUCAGAAUAAAGUCAGAGGCCCUAGAUCCCAUGACGUCAGCAUUAAAGAAAGGGGUCAGGCCACGUGAAUCCCACGCUGUGUUUCAUGAGAAAAGACUGACAAGUACUUGCAUAGGUAAGCUCUGGCACAUGUGAAGAACAUGUGAAGAACUGUGGAAAAUAUCUCUGAACAUGUGAAGAACUGUGGAAGAUAACUCUAAACACUCCUUAAAUCUAAGCCUGACGCCUGCCUUCUCUGUGACACUGGUACCCAGAGCGUCUAUGUUUGUGUAAAGGAGGACCUGGGCUUACAGCUGUACCCCACCUCUAUGAGACCACCCCCACCUCUGCUUCUUCAACAGCUCAGUUCAUAUUAUUGGAGAAGACAGGAAGGAAACUUUCAAUAUGUUGUAAAAGUGGAGAAUUUACUUUUAAAGUUAAAUUUGGCAAUGUAGCCAGGAUAUCUUUUGAAGGAAAAAAAAAGAAGUAAGUUCUUGGUAUUUCCUUCUGCUUAGCAGAUAAUGAAUGCAGAAAAGGAUGGCCUCCCCCCACCACGCUUUAAAAAAAUGUUUACCUACCCUUCUGUUUUCCAAUCCAAACUGGUAUGAUAACAUUCAGGAGGUCAACAUUUGAAAUGGUUUUGAAAAAGAAAACCACCCACACUCAAAAAACUAUUUUCCUUCCUAGUAAAUGUAAUUUUAAAUUUCAAAGGCAGGAUUUAGGUCAGUGGUUUGGGUCAUUUUUUAUUUUACCCAAACUGGGCCACCCUUCCCUUAUUGUGCAAUCCAGAGGAAUCAGAAAGAUGUCAGGUAAUAAAAAUCCAGCAAAAUAAAAUAAAAUAAGAAAGAAAAAAGAAAGAAAGUUCUAACAUGGUCUGCCCAAAGUUGCAUGCCCUUAAAUUUUGCUGAUUUCAGCAGGAUUUGUAUAUUAUUAAUGAAGGGCAGAAUCUGGUCCACUGAUUUUUAUUAUCGUUGAAGAAGAGAUUUUUUUUUGUGACUAUAAAGUGGAAAAGCAUAAUUUAUGAUUCAGACCCAGGCUGACGAGAAGCAAGAGACAGAAACUUACAUCUCUAUGGCUUUAAAUUCAGUGCUAAAGUGAAGGGGUUCAGGUGUACCCACACACGGCCAAGAGGUACUUGAAUCCACGUUGACCUUUUAUCUGCUGGAGCAUCUAAGGUUAUGUUCUCACACAACAUCUGUUGAGAAACUUCGUAGGCCAAGGAAGCAAGAGGCAGUGAGGAAGGCUGGCUGGGCAAGAUCGCUUCCAUCUGUCCAUCUCUGUUAUCCUCAUAAAUCAUGUCAGUGCAGCGCAGGGGCCAAGAAGAAUACUUUUCACCUCAUACAUAAAGCUUUAGCUUGUUAGUGCUGACAUGGACUCUGGACUGAUCGCCUUUGAUGAAUGGUGAAUGCUAGGGAAGUGAGGUGAACACGAUAUUCCCUGGAAAAUCUUUCCAUUUCCCUUCUUUAUUACCCUCAGCAUGCUAUACUCACAUUCAAAUUUAUAUGCUCUCGACUGGGUACAUGUUUAUUUGACCUUUUGCUUUCUGAUGAAUAUACUUUUUUUUUUUCUGUUCUAAACACCACAGAAUGAAACUCCUUUGGCUGACCGGUGAGUACAUCUCAGAGAUCUGAAGUGUCUCGGUCACUGUUCUAUUGCUGUGGAAA
rnacentral:sRNA from 1 species